rnacentral:rRNA from 1 species
GGGCGUUAAGUUGCAGGGUAUAGACCCGAAACCCGGUGAUCUAGCCAUGGGCAGGUUGAAGGUUGGGUAACACUAACUGGAGGACCGAACCGACUAAUGUUGAAAAAUUAGCGGAUGACCUGUGGCUGGGGGUGAAAGGCCAAUCAAACCGGGAGAUAGCUGGUUCUCCCCGAAAGCUAUUUAGGUAGCGCCUCGUGAAUUCAUCUCCGGGGGUAGAGCACUGUUUCGGCUAGGGGGCCAUCCCGGCUUACCAACCCGAUGCAAACUGCGAAUACCGGAGAAUGUUAUCACGGGAGACACACGGCGGGUGCUAACGUCCGUCGUGAAGAGGGAAACAACCCAGACCGCCAGCUAAGGUCCCAAAGUCAUGGUUAAGUGGGAAACGAUGUGGGAAGGCCCAGACAGCCAGGAUGUUGGCUUAGAAGCAGCCAUCAUUUAAAGAAAGCGUAAUAGCUCACUGGUCGAGUCGGCCUGCGCGGAAGAUGUAACGGGGCUAAACCAUGCACCGAAGCUGCGGCAGCGACGCUGAUGCGUUGUUGGGUAGGGGAGCGUUCUGUAAGCCUGCGAAGGUGGCCUGUGAGGGUUGCUGGAGGUAUCAGAAGUGCGAAUGCUGACAUAAGUAACGAUAAAGCGGGUGAAAAGCCCGCUCGCCGGAAGACCAAGGGUUCCUGUCCAACGUUAAUCGGGGCAGGGUGAGUCGACCCCUAAGGCGAGGCCGAAAGGCGUAGUCGAUGGGAAACGGGUUAAUAUUCCCGUACUUGGUGUUACUGCGAAGGGGGGACGGAGAAGGCUAUGUUGGCCGGGCGACGGUUGUCCCGGUUUAAGCGUGUAGGUGUGUGUUCCAGGUAAAUCCGGUUCACUUUAACACUGAGGCGUGAUGACGAGGCACUACGGUGCUGAAGCAACAAAUGCCCUGCUUCCAGGAAAAGCCUCUAAGCAUCAGGUAACAUCAAAUCGUACCCCAAACCGACACAGGUGGUCAGGUAGAGAAUACCAAGGCGCUUGAGAGAACUCGGGUGAAGGAACUAGGCAAAAUGGUGCCGUAACUUCGGGAGAAGGCACGCUGACAUGUAGGUGAAGUGAUUUACUCACGGAGCUGAAGUCAGUCGAAGAUACCAGCUGGCUGCAACUGUUUAUUAAAAACACAGCACUGUGCAAACACGAAAGUGGACGUAUACGGUGUGACGCCUGCCCGGUGCCGGAAGGUUAAUUGAUGGGGUCAGCGCAAGCGAAGCUCCUGAUCGAAGCCCCGGUAAACGGCGGCCGUAACUAUAACGGUCCUAAGGUAGCGAAAUUCCUUGUCGGGUAAGUUCCGACCUGCACGAAUGGCGUAAUGAUGGCCAGGCUGUCUCCACCCGAGACUCAGUGAAAUUGAACUCGCUGUGAAGAUGCAGUGUACCCGCGGCAAGACGGAAAGACCCCGUGAACCUUUACUAUAGCUUGACACUGAACAUUGAGCCUUGAUGUGUAGGAUAGGUGGGAGGCUUUGAAGUGUGGACGCCAGUCUGCAUGGAGCCGACCUUGAAAUACCACCCUUUAAUGUUUGAUGUUCUAACGUGGACCCGUGAUCCGGGUUGCGGACAGUGUCUGGUGGGUAGUUUGACUGGGGCGGUCUCCUCCUAAAGAGUAACGGAGGAGCACGAAGGUUGGCUAAUCCUGGUCGGACAUCAGGAGGUUAGUGCAAUGGCAUAAGCCAGCUUGACUGCGAGCGUGACGGCGCGAGCAGGUGCGAAAGCAGGUCAUAGUGAUCCGGUGGUUCUGAAUGGAAGGGCCAUCGCUCAACGGAUAAAAGGUACUCCGGGGAUAACAGGCUGAUACCGCCCAAGAGUUCAUAUCGACGGCGGUGUUUGGCACCUCGAUGUCGGCUCAUCACAUCCUGGGGCUGAAGUAGGUCCCAAGGGUAUGGCUGUUCGCCAUUUAAAGUGGUACGCGAGCUGGGUUUAGAACGUCGUGAGACAGUUCGGUCCCUAUCUGCCGUGGGCGCUGGAGAACUGAGGGGGGCUGCUCCUAGUACGAGAGGACCGGAGUGGACGCAUCACUGGUGUUCGGGUUGUCAUGCCAAUGGCACUGCCCGGUAGCUAAAUGCGGAAGAGAUAAGUGCUGAAAGCAUCUAAGCACGAAACUUGCCCCGAGAUGAGUUCUCCCUGAGACUUAGAGUCUCCUGAAGGAACGUUGAAGACGACGACGUUGAUAGGCCGGGUGUGUAAGCGCAGCGAUGCGUUGAGCUAACCGGUACUAAUGAACCGUGAGGCUUAACCUUACAACGCCGAAG